AUACUACUCCCUCCGUCCGGAAAUACUUGUCAUCAAAAUGGAUAAAAGGGGAUGUAUCUAGACGUAUUUUAGUUAUAGAUACAUCUCUUUUUACUCAUUUUGAUGACAAGUAUUUUCGGACGGAGGGAGUACUAG
rfam:Triticum aestivum genome assembly, contig: Triticum_aestivum_CS42_TGACv1_scaffold_019448_1AS